rnacentral:rRNA from 1 species
UAUUUAUUUACUUUUAAUCCGCCAGGGGACUACAAGCAUUGGCUUGAAACCCAAAGGACUUGGCGGUGCUUUAGAACCACCUAGAGGAGCCUGUUCUAGAACUGAUAACCCCCGUUCAACCUCACCCUACUUUGUCAUACCCGCCUAUAUACCGCCGUCGUCAGCUUACCUUGUGAGAGAAUAUUAGUGAGCAAAAUUAGUACAACCCAAAACGUCAGGUCGAGGUGUAGUGUAUAGUAGGGGAAGAAAUGGGCUACAUUUAUCCUACCGAUAAAUACGAAUGAUUUACUGAAAAGUAAAGCUGAAGGAGGAUUUAGUAGUAAGAAGAAAAUAGAGAGUUC